UCUGCAAGAAGAUAAUGGUAGUUGAGGGCUCUUCAACUCAAAAGCAGAUGUUCCAAGAAGCACUAAUGCUUGUGUUAAAUCUCUGAAUAUACCCAGAACGUAUUGAUGUUUCCUGAAACUUAAAGAAAUUCAGAAUGAGUUGGACGCUCAUGAAGAGAAAUGUUGUGUCUUCUCUCCUGAAAAACCUGACUGCUUACAAAAUAUUAUAUUCAGAACUAGGUCCCAUGUAUGUGAUUUAAUUGAAACAUUUGUAAAAAGAUGUAGGAAGUGUUUCUAAGCCAGACUAAGAUUCCCAAAGGCACAGUAAGUGUACAUGCUCUCUGUUUUGUUUUCAUUGUUUGAUACCAUUGACUCUCACACAAGGGAAACACAGAUGAAGAUCUUGGCAGGUAAUCCAGAAGUUUCAUGCUAGCGACUGGAGCAAUAGGGGGCCAGCUUUGAGGUGCUUUUGAUCUAAAUACCAGGAGGUGUAUUCUCUUGAUUUGCUGUAAUGGAAGUGGCGCACUUGAAUGAGAGGACAAUAGAUCAUCCUGUGUCUGAUUGAGAUUACUUCUUUGGAGUUCUAGAAAGGAAAAAUCUGGUUACGAGGGGGUCUCAUGAUCUGCUGUAAUAAAGUACCAAAGGAGAGAGCAAUCUUUUUAACAUGACAAUUUAUGUCCACUUAGGAGAAAUUCAUGGUGCUUGAAAAUGAGGCAGAUAUAGCCAAAUAGUCACUUAUGAUUUAUUAAAUGUCCUGAUUCACAGGACUUCAUGUUAUGGGUCAAAUUGUGUCUGGCUGGAAGUGUAUAUUUCAACAGGGCUGGGGAAAAGGGUCAAGCUAUAAAAAAGAUGUCUUCUAAUAUUCUUUGAACAGUGUUUCCCAAACCCUUAGAAAAAUGGUUCUCCAACCAUAAGUUGUUACUGAGUACUGACUUGAAGAGAAAGAGAGUUUUGUUUAUUACCAGCAUUAUGUAAUAAGAGGAAGAGACAUGCAACUGCCUCCCAAACAAAUGGAGAGAGAGUGGAGUUAUGCAGGUGCACCAAAGAAUGGUCAGACAAUUUGGCCAAACUCUGCUUUUACUAUGUUAGAGAGCAUAGAGUCUGAAGUGACUCUAUGCUAAUGGGGUUAUUCCAGCUUUGCACCAAUGUAAGCAAGAUCAAAAUUUGGCUAUGGGGUGGUUUGACUUCUGCUGUGGUAAAUAAGAGCAGAGACCAAUCUGGAGUGUAUAAAGAUGUUCUGCAAAACAAAAAGGAUGAUCCAUUUAUUUCACCAGGAUGUACUAAGUGCCUUAGAAGAAGUGUAUUCAGCCACUAAUUUAUUAAUACGUGUAAAGCACUUCGAUAUCCU